rnacentral:rRNA from 1 species
ACCCCCGUGAGAAUGCCCUCAGCCCUCUGCCCGAGGACAAGGAGCAGGCAUCAGGCACGCUCUCGCAGCCCAAAACGCCUUGCUUAGCCACGCCCCCAAGGGAACUCAGCAGUGAUAAACAUUAAGCAAUAAGUGAAAACUUGACUUAGUCAAAGCAAAGAGGACCGGUAAAACUCGUGCCAGCCACCGCGGUUAUACGAGAGGUCCAAGUUGAUAGAAACCGGCGUAAAGAGUGGUUAGGAAAAUCUUACUUAACUAAAGCCAAACACCUUCAGAACUGUUAUACGUACCCGAAGGCAUGAAGAACCACUACGAAAGUGGCUUUAUUAACCCUGAACCCACGAAAGCUAUGCCACAAACUGGGAUUAGAUACCCCACUAUGCUUAGCCAUAAACAUCGAUAGUAUUACCACCUCACUAUCCGCCAGGGAACUACGAGCAAUAGCUUAAAACCCAAAGGACUUGGCGGUGCUUUAGACCCACUUAGAGGAGCCUGUUCUAGAACCGAUACUCCCCGUUCAACCUCACCUUUUCUUGUUUAACCC